ACCGGUGUGGAUUGGCUCAACAUUGCUCAUGCCUCUUUUAUUGUUUUGGAUGGCAAUGCAAUUUCAGCUAAUGAUAACUGAUCAGCCCGCCAUUCUUUGGGAAUUGGUGGUUAUACCAAAGUAUUGUCGAUGCAAAUCCCAAAAGUUGAGCGGGAGAGGUGUUGUUGGCUUCCAAUGUCUCCUCACUGUUAGGUUGUAAUAUAGAUUAAGCUGUUUGUGCUUUGAUAUUUUAUUUAAACACUGUCUGCAUUUCCUUUUUGCUGAUUGUUACUCGGUUUGUAUAUUUGGAAUUGGAUUUAAGAUUUAGCUGCUGCUUUUCUAUUGAAUUUAAGGUUUGUAUCACCCUCAUAUCCAUUGUUGAAAGGGCUGAACUUAUUUCAGAUUGGGGUUUGAAUUUUUUUUAUUUAAGUUAAUCUCUUAACUUAACAA